GAACCGUACAAACGUUAUUCGGGAAUUACUGGGGCUUAAAGGGUGCGUAGGCGGCGUGGUAAGUGAGGCGUGAAAGCCCUCGGGCUCAACCGAGGGAAUUGCGUUUCAUACUGCCACACUCGAGGGAGACAGAGGUAAGCGGAACUGAUGGUGGAGCGGUGAAAUGCGUUGAUAUUAUCAGGAACACCAGUGGCGAAAGCGGCUUACUGGGUCUCUUCUGACGCUGAGGCACGAAAGCUAGGGUAGCGAACGGGAUUAGAUACCCCGGUAGUCCUAGCUGUAAACGAUGAGCACUUGGUCGGGGAUCCCCUCAUAGGUUCCCGAUCGUAGCGAAAGUGUUAAGUGCUCCGCCUGGGGAGUAUGGUCGCAAAGUCUG
rnacentral:rRNA from 1 species